rnacentral:rRNA from 1 species
AUUGAACGCUGGCGGCAGGCCUAACACAUGCAAGUCGAGCGGAGCGAGGGUGCUUGCACCUUAGCUUAGCGGCGGACGGGUGAGUAAUGCUUAGGAAUCUGCCUAUUAGUGGGGGACAACAUUCCGAAAGGAAUACUAAUACCGCAUACGCCCUACGGGGGAAAGCAGGGGAUCUUCGGACCUUGCGCUAAUAGAUGAGCCUAAGUCGGAUUAGCUAGUUGGUGGGGUAAAGGCCUACCAAGGCGACGAUCUGUAGCGGGUCUGAGAGGAUGACCCGCCAGACUGGGACUGAGACACGGCCCAGACUCCUACGGGAGGCAGCAGUGGGGAAUAUUGGACAAUGGGCGGAAGCCUGAUCCAGCCAUGCCGCGUGUGUGAAGAAGGCCUUUUGGUUGUAAAGCACUUUAAGCGAGGAGGAGGCUACUUAGAUUAAUACUCUGGGAUAGUGGACGUUACUCGCAGAAUAAGCACCGGCUAACUCUGUGCCAGCAGCCGCCGUAA